AACCUGCCCAUCAGAAGGGGAUAACACUUGGAAACAGGUGCUAAUACCGUAUAACAAUCGAAACCGCAUGGUUUUGAUUUGAAAGGCGCUUUCGGGUGUCGCUGAUGGAUGGACCCGCGGUGCAUUAGCUAGUUGGUGAGGUAACGGCUCACCAAGGCCACGAUGCAUAGCCGACCUGAGAGGGUGAUCGGCCACAUUGGGACUGAGACACGGCCCAAACUCCUACGGGAGGCAGCAGUAGGGAAUCUUCGGCAAUGGACGAAAGUCUGACCGAGCAACGCCGCGUGAGUGAAGAAGGUUUUCGGAUCGUAAAACUCUGUUGUUAGAGAAGAACAAGGAUGAGAGUAACUGUUCAUCCCUUGACGGUAUCUAACCAGAAAGCCACGGCUAACUACGUGCCAGCAGCCGCGGUAAUACGUAGGUGGCAAGCGUUGUCCGGAUUUAUUGGGCGUAAAGCGAGCGCAGGCGGUUUCUUAAGUCUGAUGUGAAAGCCCCCGGCUCAACCGGGGAGGGUCAUUGGAAACUGGGAGACUUGAGUGCAGAAGAGGAGAGUGGAAUUCCAUGUGUAGCGGUGAAAUGCGUAGAUAUAUGGAGGAACACCAGUGGCGAAGGCGGCUCUCUGGUCUGUAACUGACGCUGAGGCUCGAAAGCGUGGGGAGCAAACAGGAUUAGAUACCCUGGUAGUCCACGCCGUAAACGAUGAGUGCUAAGUGUUGGAGGGUUUCCGCCCUUCAGUGCUGCAGCUAACGCAUUAAGCACUCCGCCUGGGGAGUACGACCGCAAGGUUGAAACUCAAAGGAAUUGACGGGGGCCCGCACAAGCGGUGGAGCAUGUGGUUUAAUUCGAAGCAACGCGAAGAACCUUACCAGGUCUUGACAUCCUUUGACCACUCUAGAGAUAGAGCUUCCCCUUCGGGGGCAAAGUGACAGGUGGUGCAUGGUUGUCGUCAGCUCGUGUCGUGAGAUGUUGGGUUAAGUCCCGCAACGAGCGCAACCCUUAUUGUUAGUUGCCAUCAUUUAGUUGGGCACUCUAGCAAGACUGCCGGUGACAAACCGGAGGAAGGUGGGGAUGACGUCAAAUCAUCAUGCCCCUUAUGACCUGGGCUACACACGUGCUACAAUGGGAAGUACAACGAGUCGCGAAGUCGCGAGGCUAAGCUAAUCUCUUAAAGCUUCUCUCAGUUCGGAUUGUAGGCUGCAACUCGCCUACAUGAAGCCGGAAUCGCUAGUAAUCGCGGAUCAGCACGCCGCGGUGAAUACGUUCCCGGGCCUUGUACACACCGCCCGUCACACCACGAGAGUUUGUAACACC
rnacentral:rRNA from 1 species